GAGUGUGGGAGCGUGUGUGGGUGGCAGUGUGGGUCUGUGGGUGGGUGGUUGUUAGUGAGUGUGGGUGAUGCUAUAAACAGGCAGUUGUUGUACAUUGCCACCUCUGCAGCAGCAGCGUCUCAUUGUAGUGCCCCCGAGCCAUUCACAUUGGUUCUUUCAUGGAGAGACGGGAGGAGGGGCAGUAGGAGAGUGACAGCAGCUGCUUCUUCCCUCCCCUUCUCCUUUCUGCUUCAAUCACAUCCCAACACCCCCCUUCCAUCACCCAAAGCCCAUCGGUCCCUCAGCUUCCCAAGGCCACAAGAUGCUGGACAUUUUCCUCCUGAUGUUCUUUGCCAUUAUAGGCCUCGUCCUGCUCUCCUACAUCAUCUACAUAUUGUGAGGCAUUAACCCUUCAUCACAGACGGAAAUCGAGCAGCACCUGAAACAUGAAAUGACAACGUAAAGGGGUCGGAAUGAGAAAUUUCAAACCCGGGAGAAGGAUCUGUGAAGUGCGGAAGAGCAGGAGAUGUCCGUGCGAUGCAUUGGGACAUCAGGGGAGCACAACAAGAUGGCGGCCAAACCUUGUGAUACAUUUCUUCUCUUACAUGUUGUGGCAAAUGCAUUAGAAUCCUGUAGUCGGCAACGUAUUCUAUGAUAACAAGUGUUGAAUUUUUGUUUUAACAAUGUCAGUCGUCGCUUUAAAUAAAAGAGUUGUCCUUUAA